AUACGUAGGGGGCGAGCGUUGUCCGGAAUGAUUGGGCGUAAAGGGCGCGUAGGCGGCCCGGUAAGUCUGGAGUGAAAGUCCUGUUUUUAAGAUGGGAAUUGCUUUGGAUACUGUCGGGCUUGAGUGCAGGAGAGGUAAGUGGAAUUCCCAGUGUAGCGGUGAAAUGCGUAGAGAUUGGGAGGAACACCAGUGGCGAAGGCGACUUACUGGACUGUAACUGACGCUGAGGCGCGAAAGUGUGGGGAGCAAACAGGAUUAGAUACCCUGGUAGUCCACACUGUAAACGAUGAAUGCUAGGUGUAGGGGGUAUCGACCCCUUCUGUGCCGCAGUCAACACAAUAAGCAUUCCGCCUAGGGAGUACGGCCGCAAGGUUGAAACUCAAAUGAAUUGGCGGGG
rnacentral:rRNA from 1 species